GUUGGCAUCAACGAGAUCCAAAGGAGCAAUCCGCUGAGAGAUGAGCUCGCGUCUGAUUAGAUAGUUGGUGAGGUAAACGGGCUCACCAAGUCGACGAUCAGUGGCCGGACUGAGAGGUUGAAACGGGCCACAUUGGGACUGAGACAGGCCCAGACUCCUACGGGAGGCAGCAGUGGGGAAUAUUGCACAAUGGGCGCAAGCCUGAUGCAGCAACGCCGCGUGAGGGAUGACGGUCUUCGGAUUGUAAACCUCUGUCCUUGGUGACGAAACAAAUGACGGUAGCCAUGGAGGAAGCCACGGCUAACUACGUG
rnacentral:rRNA from 1 species